rnacentral:rRNA from 1 species
UCCGUAGGUGAACCUGCGGAAGGAUCAUUACAGUGUUAGGCUUCGGCCUCAUUCACACCCCUUGUUUAACCUCUGGUUUCUUUGGCGAUGUCAAUCGUCAAACUUUAACUCUGAUAAUGUGGUACUGUCCGAGUCCAAUUGAAUUAUCAAAACUUUCAACAACGGAUCUCUUGGUUCCAGCAUCGAUGAAGAACGCAGCGAAAUGCGAUAAAUAAUGUGAAUUGCAGAAUUCCGUGAAUCAUCGAAUCUUUGAACGCAUAUUGCGCCCAAGACUUCGGUCAAGGGCAUGUCUGCCUCAGCGUCGGUUUAUACCCUUGCUUCCCCACUAUGUGGUGUGCACCCCUAAUCGGUUGCCCGGGAGCAGAUCUGGCUUUCCCAAACCACUAUUUAGUGAUUUGGGUUGGCUGAAGUGCAGAGGCUAGAGCUUGGACCCGAUAUGGGCUCAACUGGAUAGGUACCGGCUUGACCGACUACACGAAGUUGAUGCCUGUGGUCUUUGCUGGCGGCCAGCAGGAAACACACCUCGGUGUGCUCUAAACAUUCGACCUGAGGCUCAGGGGGCAAGGAUUACCCGGCUGGAACUUAAGGCAUAUCAAUAAGGCGGGAGGGAAGGUCGGACUGGCCAAGGGGCACACAGGGGGGGGAUA